ACGCUGGCGGCGUGCCUAAUACAUGCAAGUAGAACGCUGAAGGAGGAGCUUGCUCUUCUGGAUGAGUUGCGAACGGGUGAGUAACGCGUAGGUAACCUGCCUGGUAGCGGGGGAUAACUAUUGGAAACGAUAGCUAAUACCGCAUAAUAGUAGAUGUUGCAUGACAUUUACUUAAAAGGUGCAAUUGCAUCACUACCAGAUGGACCUGCGUUGUAUUAGCUAGUUGGUGGGGUAACGGCUCACCAAGGCGACGAUACAUAGCCGACCUGAGAGGGUGAUCGGCCACACUGGGACUGAGGCACGGCCCAGACUCCUACGGGAGGCAGCAGUAGGGAAUCUUCGGCAAUGGACGGAAGUCUGACCGAGCAACGCCGCGUGAGUGAAGAAGGUUUUCGGAUCGUAAAGCUCUGUUGUAAGAGAAGAACGAGUGUGAGAGUGGAAAGUUCACACUGUGACGGUAUCUUACCAGAAAGGGACGGCUAACUACGUGCCAGCAGCCGCGGUAAUACGUAGGUCCCGAGCGUUGUCCGGAUUUAUUGGGCGUAAAGCGAGCGCAGGCGGUUAGAUAAGUCUGAAGUUAAAGGCUGUGGCUUAACCAUAGUACGCUUUGGAAACUGUUUAACUUGAGUGCAAGAGGGGAGAGUGGAAUUCCAUGUGUAGCGGUGAAAUGCGUAGAUAUAUGGAGGAACACCGGUGGCGAAAGCGGCUCUCUGGCUUGUAACUGACGCUGAGGCUCGAAAGCGUGGGGAGCAAACAGGAUUAGAUACCCUGGUAGUCCACGCCGUAAACGAUGAGUGCUAGGUGUUAGACCCUUUCCGGGGUUUAGUGCCGCAGCUAACGCAUUAAGCACUCCGCCUGGGGAGUACGACCGCAAGGUUGAAACUCAAAGGAAUUGACGGGGGCCCGCACAAGCGGU
rnacentral:rRNA from 1 species